rnacentral:rRNA from 1 species
CUGGCACCUUCGGUGUCCGAGUUGUAAUUUGAAGAAGGUAACUUUGGAGUUGGCUCUUGUCUAUGUUCCUUGGAACAGGACGUCACAGAGGGUGAGAAUCCCGUGCGAUGAGAUGUCCAACUCUAUGUAAAGUGCUUUCGAAGAGUCGAGUUGUUUGGGAAUGCAGCUCUAAGUGGGUGGUAAAUUCCAUCUAAAGCUAAAUAUUGGCGAGAGACCGAUAGCGAACAAGUACAGUGAUGGAAAGAUGAAAAGAACUUUGAAAAGAGAGUGAAAAAGUACGUGAAAUUGUUGAAAGGGAAGGGUUUGAGAUCAGACUUGGUAUUUUGUAUGUCUUGCUUUCGGGUGGGGCCUCUGCAGUUUACUGGGCCAGCAUCGGUUUGGACGGUAGGAUAAUGACAUUGGAAUGUGGCACUACUUCGGUGGUGUGUUAUAGACUUUGUUGAUACUGCCUGUCUAGACCGAGGACUGCGUCUUUGACUAGGAUGCUGGCAUAAUGAUCCUAAACC